AUGCGGACAAGUGGUGCUAAUGGUUUCGAUGUGGCUGCUCCUGCUCGUAUCGCCGCCGAGAACUUGCAUAAGGUCUUCAGAAGGCAGGUGUACUACGGAUCUGAAUCGUCAUAUCAGGAAAGCGAUCUGCUGCCGGAUCCGGAGCUUGACUCCAGACUCCCACAACACGAGUUCGACUCCGACUUUUGCGCCAUCGAGAAGUACCAAAAGCUGAGUUGUGUGCACGGGCACACUCCCGCUCGACAUGUAUGCACUGAGGGAUCUAACAUUGGCAGGCAGUUUCUUAGUUGCCCCUUAGAGGGAUAUGAGGCUUGUGCCUUUGUUAACUGGCUGGAUGAAGAGGCAUGGCAGGGCUCAAAGUGUUAUCACCAAGCUCGCAGAAGAUAA
rnacentral:rRNA from 1 species